GGGGGCGUAGCUCAGAUGGUAGAGCGCUCGCUUAAAAUGCGAGAGGUACGGGGAUAACCCCCGCGCCUCCU